AGAAUGUUUGUUGGGAAAGUUUACAACAAAAUGACAAGGCCCAGUAUACUGUUUGUCGUCACCUUGGAUACUACGAUGUACACUUUCUUGUUAAUAUAUCCACUCCAACGGAUGCCAAAAAUGCAACAUUUUCUGGAAGUAUAAACUGUAAUAGUGGAGACAAAUACUUAUCCCAGUGUUCAAUUACUGCUUCGGCCAGCGAAAGUUGUUCUGAGUUAUCAUACAUACAGUGU